GUAGACAUAGUUUAACUAAAACACCAGAUUGUGAUUCUGGUAACAGAGGUUAAAAUCCUCUUGUCCACC
rnacentral:tRNA from 1 species